GACGUAGGGCGCAAGCGUUGUCCGGAUUUAUUGGGCGUAAAGAGCUCGUAGGCGGCUGGUUGCGUCGACUGUGAAAACCCGCGGCUCAACCGUGUGGUCUGCAGUCGAUACGGGCUGGCUGGAGUUCGGUAGGGGAGACUGGAAUUCCUGGUGUAGCGGUGAAAUGCGCAGAUAUCAGGAGGAACACCGACGCGAAGGCAGCACUCUGGGCCGGUACUGAC
rnacentral:rRNA from 1 species